AUACGGAGGAUGCGAGCGUUAUCCGGAUUUAUUGGGUUUAAAGGGAGCGUAGGUGGGAUAUUAAGUCAGCUGUGAAAGUUUGGGGCUCAACCUUAAAAUUGCAGUUGAUACUGGUUUCCUUGAGUACGGUACAGGUGGGCGGAAUUCGUGGUGUAGCGGUGAAAUGCGUAGAUAUCACGAAGAACUCCGAUCGCGAAGGCAGCUCACCGGGCCGGAACUGACACUGAUGCUCGAAAGUGCGGGUAUCAAACAGGAUUAGAUACCCUGGUAGUCCGCACAGUAAACGAUGAAUACUCGCUGUUUGCGAUACACGGUAAGCGGCCAAGCGAAAGCGUUAAGUAUUCCACCUGGGGAGUACGCCGGCAACGGUGAAACUCAUAUGAAUUGACGGGG
rnacentral:rRNA from 1 species